UAUGAUUUUCCUGAGUAUCCAUGUCAUCAUUCUGCUGGGACAAUAAAAUAAGGCCAAGACAAAUCACUAAUCAGCAUGAACAUAUAUAUGAGAAAUAAUUAAACAUUUAUUACUGAAACAUGAUUAGACAAAUAUAUAAUAUUAUGAUACCUGAACGCCAUUCGAAAGUUGUAUAGUGUUGCUUUCAGUCAUUUUACGAACUUCAUCAAAAGAAGAAGAAUUCACGACAUGUUCACAGGAUGAAAAUAUAUAUAGAUGCUUUAGGAGGUUUCAUGGCAGCUAGUUUCGUCUGCCAACACUUUUUUUAUCAUCCAACAAUUUCGUAGCAGCAGCUUCAUUGACUUCUUAGUUGAAACCGCGUGUGUUUUUCUUUCAAGUGAAGAAGAAUUGAGCAU
rnacentral:lncRNA from 1 species